UACGGAGGGGGCAAGCGUUGUUCGGAAUUACUGGGCGUAAAGGGCGCGCAGGCGGCUGCUCAAGUCAGGCGUGAAAGGCCUGGGCUCAACCCGGGAAUUGCGCUUGAGACUGGGCUGGCUUGAGUGCGGGAGAGGAUGGUGGAAUUCCCAGUGUAGAGGUGAAAUUCGUAGAUAUUGGGAAGAACACCGAUGGCGAAGGCAGCCCCCUGGGCUGACACUGACGCUCAGGCACGAAAGCGUGGGGAGCAAACAGG
rnacentral:rRNA from 1 species